UACGAAGGGGGGCUAGCGUUGUUCGGAUUUACUGGGCGUAAAGCGCACGUAGGCGGACUUUUUAAGUCAGGGGUGAAAUCCCAGAGCUCAACUCUGGAACUGCCUUUGAUACUGGAAGUCUUGAGUAUGGUAGAGGUGAGUGGAAUUCCGAGUGUAGAGGUGAAAUUCGUAGAUAUUCGGAGGAACACCAGUGGCGAAGGCGGCUCACUGGACCAUUACUGACGCUGAGGCGCGAAAGCGUGGGGAGCAAACAGG
rnacentral:rRNA from 1 species